GGCUCGGUGGUGGGUAGUCCACAUAUGCAUUUAAUAUAUGAGCUUCGCGUGCCUUUAUGCAGAGAGCGCUCGUUCAAUUCGGGCCCGAGCCA